rnacentral:rRNA from 1 species
ACGGAGGAAAAGAAACCAACUGGGAUUACCUUAGUAACGGCGAGUGAAGCGGUAAAAGCUCAAAUUUGAAAUCUGGUACUUUCAGUGCCCGAGUUGUAAUUUGUAGAAUUUGUCUUUGAUUAGGUCCUUGUCUAUGUUCCUUGGAACAGGACGUCAUAGAGGGUGAGAAUCCCGUUUGGCGAGGAUACCUUUUCUCUGUAAGACUUUUUCGAAGAGUCGAGUUGUUUGGGAAUGCAGCUCAAAGUGGGUGGUAAAUUCCAUCUAAAGCUAAAUAUUGGCGAGAGACCGAUAGCGAACAAGUACAGUGAUGGAAAGAUGAAAAGAACUUUGAAAAGAGAGUGAAAAAGUACGUGAAAUUGUUGAAAGGGAAGGGCAUUUGAUCAGACAUGGUGUUUUUUGCAUGCACUCGCCUCUCGUGGGCUUGGGCCUCUCAAAAAUUUCACUGGGCCAACAUCAAUUCUGGCAGCAGGAUAAAUCAUUAAGAACGUAGCUACCUCGGUAGUGUUAUAGCUUUUUGGAAUACUGCUAGCUGGGAUUGAGGACUGCGCUUCGGCAAGGAUGUUGGCAUAAUGGUUAAAUGCCGCCCGUCUU